rnacentral:rRNA from 1 species
GAUGAACGCUAGCGGCAGGCUUAAUACAUGCAAGUCGAGGGGCAGCGUGACUGUAGCAAUACAGUUGAUGGCGACCGGCAAACGGGUGCGGAACACGUACAGAACCUUCCUUCGAGCGGGGAAUAGCCCAGAGAAAUUUGGAUUAAUACCCCAUAGUAUUAUGGAGUGGCAUCACUUUAUAAUUAAAGAUUUAUCACUUG